UCUAAACUUCUGUUCACACGCUUAACUCAAAGGUGAUGUUUCCACUCCCUCUUUGGAACAAACGAAAAUCAGUAACAACACGGGGAAGGAGAGAUAAAGGAAGAAAUAGGAUGAGAAAAUCUCGAUUUUAUCCAAUACACUGUGUAAAUCUGGAAAAGUCAAUUUUAGAUCUCCGAUUGAAGAACCCAUGUCUACAUCUGAAACACUAAUUCGUUUACUAUCGUUUUUACACAGAAGUUGUUCGCAAUAUAGCCUAUUUCGUUUAAGCCUGUACAUCAUGUAUUUCUGAGAAGGUUAUUGACGUGCUUAGUAAAAUGAUGCAGUAGGGAUUCCCAUUUGAUGUUAUCUUUCUUGCUAUCAUCUAUGGUAUGUGAAAUAGGAAAGGAAUCAAACAAGGGGUUCUCAUGUGUGAGAGUUCUUAUUUUUGAAGAAAAUGGCAAGAUUGAUGUUAUCCAGUUGGAAGUUUUUUGCUUUGCAAUAAAAAUUGAAGUUAAGGUAACACACUUAUAACAGUUAAACAAUACUCUUUACUGUUUUCCGAGGAGAUUAAAUCUUAAUUUGUUGCGGUAAAAAGGGAGUUAGGAAAAUGAAGAAAAAGUUCGCUAAUGAACCAGAUGUGAAAAACCUUGACUAAAAACGCUUAGUUCAAUGAGAUUGGUAUGGUUCUUUUAUCUUCAACAACCUUUGUCUGCUGACCAUACUUUUUUGUAGAUGUAUUCAUUAUUGCGACCAUACUUUUUUGCGGAUGUAAUCAUUAUCAUCGUCAUCAUCAUGGAUCUUUUUUUGCUUCUUUUAACAUUUUUUUGUUCGAGGAACUUAGAUUUCAGAAUUUUCGAUAUAUAUAUAUAUAUCAUAUAUAUAUAUAUAUAUAUAUAUGUCUGCAACCGAGUAUUAUUUUGUUUGUUUUUAGUCUUUCGAGAUAUCAAAAUUUAUAUCUAUCCAUGAAUCUUGCAGUUAGUUUUGAUGGAAACAUUUUCAUGAUUCAAAGUUGCAGCUGUUAAUAUUUUUUCUUUUAAAUGUAUGACUCAUGGUACAAAUUGAAGCAGGACAUGGUACUCUAGGUGAAUCUGAAGCAUCAUAAGGUUUAGAUGAUGGCGGCUCAAAUUAAAUACAUGGCUAUAAAGUAUGUACAUUCGCACGUCGAUACAUAGGAGUCGCACCAAAUCAGCUUUCUUAAUUGCAGGUAUGACUCAAUCCUUCGAAGGACAUUUGAUUUGCCUGCGCAAGAUAUUAAUGAAAUCCAAACAUGUUGACCCAAGUAAAAACAUACAAACCCGGACUACUUAGCAGGUAGUCGCGCUCUAACACACCCCCAUAUCUCCGCGGGAGAAGAAUACGCAGAGCUAAGUAGAGAAUGAGGUUAAUCAAAAAAGAGAGGUUAAACAUGGCCUGAACUAAUCUAAAAAAUUACAGUUACGAAGCAAGUGAUGGGGAUUACGGGUAUAAAAGGAAUGAGAUUACUCAUGCACUGUAUCCUGUAUGAUACAUAUAUAUGUUUUAUGUGAGCUCUUGAGUGUAAUGUGUUGUAUGAGUAGGUACUAAAAGUAAGAGGGGACGUUUCAGGAUAGUAAUAAAGUUAUGUUCCGUUUUAUAUUUGGAGAGUAUACAGCGAGAACUUACUCAACAAGUUCAUGCUUAUUAAGACGUGGUGACAGCAGCAUGUGCAUAAUGCUGACCCGUAUUUUCCAGACCAAAGAUCAUGCUUUCAUGAAAUAAGAGAUCUUCAGAUUCGUAACCCACGUCUUUAGUUUCGAUCUGACAGAACUUCACAACUCAUAUGACAUAGAGAGACGACAUGAAGAGACUCAGCGAAUAACCUACCUAUCGGAUGUCAAGAUCAUAAAAGACUGCAUGGUGAGGAACCUAAUUAGAUACCUCAUGUGGAGCAGAAUGGGUUCUCAUACUAGGUUGUUCACUGCUGAUUCAAUGAGCAUCUAGAGGGUAGCGACGAUGGUUUAUCAUUCGUUGACAAGUGCGAUACUUGGUUUUGAUACAAAAGUUUUUAUAUUUUAUGAAAUCCCAAUUAUAUUUAGCUCCCAGAAGUUCUUUUUUUUCUUUUUCUUUUUUAUCAUAAUGAAAAGUUGCACAUUUGUUAUAUUGUAUUUCAUAUAUGUUGCAGCUGCAACCCUUCGGUUUUGGACUAAAUUUUAUGCCGGGAGUAUUUCACCAAAUUUAAAUUCCAGAUUUAUUGUUUA